rnacentral:rRNA from 1 species
UGCGUAGGCGGGCUAAUAAGUCAGUGGUGAAAUCUCUCGGCUCAACCGGGAAACUGCCAUUGAUACUGUUAGUCUUGAGUUCGGUUGAGGUAGGCGGAAUGUGUAAUGUAGCGGUGAAAUGCUUAGAUAUUACACAGAACACCAAUUGCGUAGGCAGCUUACUAGACCGACACUGACGCUGAGGUACGAAAGCGUGGGGAGCGAACAGGAUUAGAUACCCUGGUAGUCC